rnacentral:rRNA from 1 species
UACGGAGGGUGCGAGCGUUGUUCGGAAUCACUGGGCGUAAAGCGCGUGUAGGCGGCCCAUUAAGUCUGAUGUGAAAGCCCGGGGCUCACCCCCGGAAGUGCAUUGGAAACUGAUGGACUCGAGUCCCGGAGAGGAGAGUGGAAUUCCUGGUGUAGCGGUGAAAUGCGUAGAUAUCAGGAGGAACACCGGUGGCGAAGGCGGCUCUCUGGACGGUGACUGACGCUGAGACGCGAAAGCGUGGGGAGCAAACGGG